UGGGGAAUAUUGGGCAAUGGGCGCAAGCCUGACCCAGCAACGCCGCGUGAAGGAAGAAGGCUUUCGGGUUGUAAACUUCUUUUCUCAGGGACGAAGAAAGUGACGGUACCUGAGGAAUAAGCCACGGCUAACUACGUGCCAGCAGCCGCGGUAAUACGUAGGUGGCAAGCGUUAUCCGGAUUUACUGGGUGUAAAGGGCGUGUAGGCGGGAAGGCAAGUCAGAUGUGAAAACCACGGGCUCAACCUGUGGCCUGCAUUUGAAACUGUUUUCUUGAGUACUGGAGAGGCAGAUGGAAUUCCUAGUGUAGCGGUGAAAUGCGUAGAUAUUAGGAGGAACACCAGUGGCGAAGGCGAUCUGCUGGACAGCAACUGACGCUGAGGCGCGAAAGCGUGGGGAGCAAACAGGAUUAGAUACCCUGGUAGU
rnacentral:rRNA from 1 species